AUUGAACGCUGGCGGCAGGCCCAACACAUGCAAGUCGAGCGGAUGACGGGAGCUUGCUCCUUGAUUCAGCGGCGGACGGGUGAGUAAUGCCUAGGAAUCUGCCUGGUAGUGGGGGACAACGUUUCGAAAGGAACGCUAAUACCGCAUACGUCCUACGGGAGAAAGCAGGGGACCUUCGGGCCUUGCGCUAUCAGAUGAGCCUAGGUCGGAUUAGCUAGUUGGUGGGGUAAUGGCUCAACAAGGCGACGAUCCGUAACUGGUCUGAGAGGAUGAUCAGUCACACUGGAACUGAGACACGGUCCAGACUCCUACGGGAGGCAGCAGUGGGGAAUAUUGGACAAUGGGCGAAAGCCUGAUCCAGCCAUGCCGCGUGUGUGAAGAAGGUCUUCGGAUUGUAAAGCACUUUAAGUUGGGAGGAAGGGCAGUAAGCUAAUACCUUGCUGUUUUGACGUUACCGACAGAAUAAGCACCGGCUAACUCUGUGCCAGCCGCCGCAGUAA
rnacentral:rRNA from 1 species